rnacentral:rRNA from 1 species
AUAACGCGGCGGCGUGUCUAACACAUGCAAGUCGAACGAUGAAGCCAGCUUGCUGGUGGUAUUAGUGGCGAACGGGUGAGUAACACGUGAGUAACCUGCCCUUGACUCUGGGAUAAGCCUGGGAAACUGGGUCUAAUACCGGAUAUGACUCCUCAUCGCAUGGUGGGGGGUGGAAAGCUUUUUGUGGUUUUGGAUGGACUCGCGGCCUAUCAUGCUUGUUGGUGAGGUAAUGGCUCACCAAGGCGACGACGGGUAGCCGGCCUGAGAGGGUGACCGGCCACACUGGGACUGAGACACGGCCCAGACUCCUACGGGAGGCAGCAGUGGGGAAUAUUGCACAAUGGGCGAAAGCCUGAUGCAGCGACGCCGCGUGAGGGAUGACGGCCUUCUGG